rnacentral:rRNA from 2 species
UUGCAUAUCACUAAGCGGAGGAAAAGAAACCAACAGGGAUUGCCUUAGUAGCGGCGAGUGAAGCGGCAAGAGCUCAAAUUUGAAAUCUGGCGUAAGCCCGAGUUGUAAUUUGAAGAAGAUAUUCUUGGAAUUGGUCCUUGUCUAUGUUCCUUGGAACAGGACGUCACAGAGGGUGAGAAUCCCGUGCGACAAGGAAUUCUUUUCUUUAUAAGAUGUCUUCGAAGAGUCGAGUUGUUUGGGAAUGCAGCUCAAAGUGGGUGGUAAAUUCCAUCUAAAGCUAAAUAUUGGCGAGAGACCGAUAGCGAACAAGUACUGUGAAGGAAAGAUGAAAAGAACUUUGAAAAGAGAGUGAAAAAGUACGUGAAAUUGUUGAAAGGGAAGGGUAUUCGAUCAGACUGGUAUUUAAUUAUCGCUACUCCUUGUGGGUGGUGCUCUAAUUUCUUACUGGGCCAACAUCAGUUUUGGUGGUAAGAUAAUCGCAGUUGAAUGUGGCUCCUCGGAGUGUUAUAGCUUCUGUUGAUGUUACCUACCGGGACUGAGGUCUGCGACUUUGUCUAGGAUGUUGGCGUAAUGAUCCAAUACCGCCCGUCUUGAAAACACGG